UCUAGAGAUAGGACGUCCCUUCGGGGGCAGAGUGACAGGUGGUGCAUGGUUGUCGUCAGCUCGUGUCGUGAGAUGUUGGGUUAAGUCCCGCAACGAGCGCAACCCUUGAUCUUAGUUGCCAGCAUUCAGUUGGGCACUCUAAGGUGACUGCCGGUGACAAACCGGAGGAAGGUGGGGAUGACGUCAAAUCAUCAUGCCCCUUAUGACCUGGGCUACACACGUGCUACAAUGGACAGAACAAAGGGCAGCGAAACCGCGAGGUUAAGCCAAUCCCACAAAUCUGUUCUCAGUUCGGAUCGCAGUCUGCAACUCGACUGCGUGAAGCUGGAAUCGCUAGUAAUCGCGGAUCAGCAUGCCGCGGUGAAUACGUUCCCGGGCCUUGUACACAC
rnacentral:rRNA from 1 species